AGCAGCCGCGGUAAUUCCAGCUCCAAUAGCGUAUAUUAAAGUUGCUGCAGUUAAAAAGCUCGUAGUUGAAUUUCGGGAUCAAUAUGUUGGUCGUGCCUCGGUACGUACUAGCUUAUUGGUUUCUCCCUUCUGACGAACCAUGAUGUCAUUUAUUUGGUGUUAUGGGGAAUCAGGACUGUUACUUUAGAAAAAUUAGAGUGUUUAAAGCAGGCUUACGCUUGAAUACAUUAGCAUGGAAUAAUGAAAUAGGACGUUUGAUUCUAUUUUGUUGGUUUCUAGGAUCGACGUAAUGAUUAAUAGGGAUAGUUGGGGGCAUUAGUAUUCAAUUGUCAGAGGUGAAAUUCUUGGAUUUAUUGAAGACUAACUACUGCGAAAGCAUUUGCCAAGGAUGUUUCAUUAAUCAAGAACGAAAGUUAGGGGAUCGAAGACGAUCAGAUACCGUCGUAGUCUUAACCAUAAACUAUGCCGACUAGGGAUCGGAUGAUGUUAAUUUUUAAUGUAACUCA
rnacentral:rRNA from 1 species